UGAGAUGGCCAGACAAUCGCGCUAUGGCAUAUGCUGCAGUGAGGAAAGUCCGGGCUCCAAUGGGCAAGGUGCCAGAUAACUUCUGGGAGGCGUGAGCCUACGGCCAGUGCAACAGAGAGUAAACCGCCAGAUGAUUUUCGGAUUAUUUGGUAAGGGUGAAAGGGUGCGGUAAGAGCGCACCGCGCAACUGGUAACAGUUGUGGCAUGGUAAACCCCACCUGGAGCAAGACCAAAUAGAAGAGCAGUGUGCUUGCA
rnacentral:RNase_P_RNA from 1 species